UACGUAGGGCGCGAGCGUUGUCCGGAUUUAUUGGGCGUAAAGAGCUCGUAGGCGGCUUGUCGCGUCGAAUGUGAAAUCUCAGGGCUCAACUCUGACAUUGCAUUCGAUACGGGCAGGCUAGAGUUCGGUAGGGGAGACUGGAAUUCCUGGUGUAGCGGUGAAAUGCGCAGAUAUCAGGAGGAACACCGGUGGCGAAGGCGGGUCUCUGGGCCGAUACUGACGCUGAGGAGCGAAAGCGUGGGGAGCGAACAGG
rnacentral:rRNA from 1 species